rnacentral:rRNA from 1 species
GCGCGAAAACUUUACAAUGCCGGCAACGGCGAUAAGGGGACCUCGAGUGCCAGGUUACAAAUCUGGCUGUCGUGAUGCCUAAAAAGCAUUGCAUAGCAAGGGCCGGGCAAGACCGGUGCCAGCCGCCGCGGUAACACCGGCGGCUCGAGUGGUAACCGUUAUUAUUGGGUCUAAAGGGUCUGUAGCCGGCCGGAUAAGUCUCUUGGGAAAUCCAGCAGCUCAACUGUUGGGCUUUCAGGAGAUACUGUCUGGCUCGAGGCCGGGAGAGGUGAGAGGUACUUCAGGGGUAGGGUGAAAUCUUGUAAUCCUUGAAGGACCACCAGUGGCGAAGGUCGUCUCACCAGAACGGACCUGACGGCAAGGGACGAAAGCUAGGGCACGACCGGAUUAGAUACCCGGGUAGUCCUAGCCGUAAACGAUACUCGCUAGGUGUCGGCCACGGUGCGACCGUUGUCGGUGCCGUAGGGAAGCCGUGAAGCGAGCCACCGUGGAACGUACGGCCGCGAAGGCGUAGAAACGUUAAAGGAAUUGGGACGGGGGAGCCGACCGAAC